rnacentral:lncRNA from 1 species
UAAGCGAUUCUAUAGGUCGGAGCCACAAUUAUCGGUCGCCGACUUGGCUUUAUACCGACAAAUGUCAGGUGAAACGGUCGAAGGGUAUUUGAACCGUUUCAAAAUAGCCAAAAUUCGGUGCUUUAUGAGAUCGAAUGCCGGAAUUAGAGUUCGCUAAAAUGGCGUUAAAUGGUCUGCAUUUUAAGAUAAAAGACCGUUUUGAAGAUAAGUAUUUUUCUAACCUAUUUGAUCUAGGUGUUCGAGUUGCCCAAUAUGAGCAAUUUCGGAAGGAAAAUGAGGACAAUCGGCUGCAAUGGAGCCGAUAUAAAAAGCAAAGCAAAGGCAAAGAGAACUCCUUGAUAGAAGAACAGUCGGUUCAAGAAGAGCCGAGCCAAUCAAGUGAAAGUGAAGAAUCGGCUGAUGAAGCCGAGGUAUAUGCGGCUGGUAAAGAG